rnacentral:rRNA from 1 species
AUUGAACGCUGGCGGCAUGCUUUACACAUGCAAGUCGAACGGCAGCACGGGCUUCGGCCUGGUGGCGAGUGGCGAACGGGUGAGUAAUGCAUCGGAACGUGCCCAUUUGUGGGGGAUAACGCGGCGAAAGUCGCGCUAAUACCGCAUACGCCCUGAGGGGGAAAGCGGGGGAUUCUUCGGAACCUCGCGCAAUUGGAGCGGCCGAUGUCAGAUUAGCUAGUUGGUAGGGUAAAGGCCUACCAAGGCGACGAUCUGUAGCGGGUCUGAGAGGAUGAUCCGCCACACUGGGACUGAGACACGGCCCAGACUCCUACGGGAGGCAGCAGUGGGGAAUUUUGGACAAUGGGGGCAACCCUGAUCCAGCCAUGCCGCGUGAGUGAAGAAGGCCUUCGGGUUGUAAAGCUCUUUCGGCCGGGAAGAAAUCGGCGACUCUAACAUAGUCGCUGGAUGACGGUACCGGACUAAGAAGCACCGGCUAACUACGUG